AUUCCCUAGUACGGCGAGUGAAGCGGGAAGAGCUCAAAUUUGAAAUCUGGUAGCCUUCGGUUGCCCGAGUUGUAAUCUAGAGAAGUGUUUUCCGCGUUGGCCCAUGUACAAGUCCCUUGGAACAGGGCGUCAUAGAGGGUGAGAAUCCCGUCCUUGACAUGGACCCCCAAUGCUUUGUGAUACACUUUCAACGAGUCGAGUUGUUUGGGAAUGCAGCUCAAAAUGGGUGGUGAAUUCCAUCUAAAGCUAAAUAUUGGCGAGAGACCGAUAGCGAACAAGUACCGUGAGGGAAAGAUGAAAAGCACUUUGGAAAGAGAGUUAAACAGUACGUGAAAUUGUUGAAAGGGAAACGAUUGAAGUCAGUCAUGCUCUUUGGAUUAAGCCGUUCUGCGGUGUAUUUCAUUGAGCGGGGUCAACAUCAGUUUUGAUCGCUGGAAAAGGGCAGGAGGAAGGUAGCACUCUCGGGUGAACUUAUAGCCUCUUGUCGUAUACAGUGAUUGGGACUGAGGAACGCAGCAUGCCUUUUGGCCGGGAUUCGUCCACGUACAUGCUUAGGAUGUUGACAUAAUGGCUUUAAACGACCCGUCUUGAAACACGGACCAC
rnacentral:rRNA from 1 species